rnacentral:rRNA from 1 species
UACGUAGGUGGCGAGCGUUGUCCGGAUUUACUGGGCGUAAAGAGCGCGCAGGCGGUCGUUCAAGUCGCGUGUGAAAGCCCCCGGCUCAACUGGGGAGGGUCACGCGAUACUGAUCGACUCGAAGGCAGGAGAGGGAAGUGGAAUUCCCGGUGUAGUGGUGAAAUGCGUAGAUAUCGGGAGGAACACCAGUGGCGAAGGCGGCGUUCUGGACUGCAACUGACACUGAGGAACGAAAGCCAGGGGAGCAAACGGG